rnacentral:rRNA from 1 species
GGGUUGUGAGGUUAAGCGACUAAGCGUACACGGUGGAUGCCCUGGCAGUCAGAGGCGAUGAAGGACGUGCUAAUCUGCGAUAAGCGUCGGUAAGGUGAUAUGAACCGUUAUAACCGGCGAUUUCCGAAUGGGGAAACCCAGUGUGAUUCGUCACACUAUCAUUAACUGAAUCCAUAGGUUAAUGAGGCGAACCGGGGGAACUGAAACAUCUAAGUACCCCGAGGAAAAGAAAUCAACCGAGAUUCCCCCAGUAGCGGCGAGCGAACGGGGAGGAGCCCAGAGCCUGAAUCAGUGUGUGUGUUAGUGGAAGCGUCUGGAAAGGCGCGCGAUACAGGGUGACAGCCCCGUACACAAAAAUGCACAUGCUGUGAGCUCGAUGAGUAGGGCGGGACACGUGGUAUCCUGUCUGAAUAUGGGGGGACCAUCCUCCAAGGCUAAAUACUCCUGACUGACCGAUAGUGAACCAGUACCGUGAGGGAAAGGCGAAAAGAACCCCGGCGAGGGGAGUGAAAAAGAACCUGAAACCGUGUACGUACAAGCAGUGGGAGCACAGAGCAAUCUGUGUGACUGCGUACCUUUUGUAUAAUGGGUCAGCGACUUAUAUUCUGUAGCAAGGUUAACCGAAUAGGGGAGCCGAAGGGAAACCGAGUCUUAACUGGGCGUUAAGUUGCAGGGUAUAGACCCGAAACCCGGUGAUCUAGCCAUGGGCAGGUUGAAGGUUGGGUAACACUAACUGGAGGACCGAACCGACUAAUGUUGAAAAAUUAGCGGAUGACUUGUGGCUGGGGGUGAAAGGCCAAUCAAACCGGGAGAUAGCUGGUUCUCCCCGAAAGCUAUUUAGGUAGCGCCUCGUGAAUUCAUCUCCGGGGGUAGAGCACUGUUUCGGCAAGGGGGUCAUCCCGACUUACCAACCCGAUGC